UGGAGAGAGACAAACUCCUACUGGCAUCAUUGGAAUAUGUGCAUUCAACCAUGCUUGAAGACAAGAAGUCUUCUAAGAUAUGUGCCAGUUUAAAUAGAGGAAUCUAUCUCGUGCACAGCAAUUAGCAUGUCACUCCUCUGACCAGAAACCUUCAUUGGUUCUCUUUUGCUUGCAAAGCAAAGUCCAGAUUCCUGAACCAGUGUUGCCAUGACUUCAGAGUGACCACAGAGCAGGCCAUGAGUACGCGUCCUUCCAUUACGGGAAGAAGGUGGGGAGAAGAGGAAGAAAAAGCCAACAAGAAGAAAAACAACUAUAUUGUACUUCCUGAGCAGGAACAGGCUGUGGUUUUGUACAAAAUUUGCAGUGAAGAACAAGUCAUACAGAUAAUAAUAAAUAGCAAACAAUAGGAUGUGUGUGUUAAUACACACCAACUUUUUCAGCCCUCACCCCCACUCUCUGAAGCAGAUCCUGAUUAUCUCCCCUUUAACUGAGGAAGCUGAGGCAAGAGAGGAGAAGUAAUGUGCCCAAAACAACACAGCUAGAAAGUGGCAGAGACUGGAUCCUGUGGAAUAUGCAUGUCAUUAUACAGAUCUUAUGUUUCAGUAGUUUCAAAAUGUCCUGUCCUUAAGCUCAGGUGCCAGACAUGUCGCUGAUUUCAGUAUCUGUUUGGGAAACCCAAGAAAUAUCAUUUUCUUCCAUAGCUCCAAUGAUCCACCCACUCCUGGGGCAUUUUUGCACACUUCUGCCAUGAUCACACUUCUGCUGAGGUGAUCAGGUACAGUGUGUGUGC